rnacentral:rRNA from 1 species
UACAGAGGGUGCAAGCGUUGUUCGGAAUUAUUGGGCGUAAAGCGCGUGUAGGCGGCAUUGCAAGUCGGGUGUGAAAGCCCUCAGCUCAACUGAGGAAGUGCGCCCGAAACUGCUUUGCUUGAGUGCUGGAGAGGGUCGCGGAAUUCCCCAAGUAGAGGUGAAAUUCGUAGAUAUGGGGAGGAACACCGGUGGCGAAGGCGGCGACCUGGACAGUAACUGACGCUGAGACGCGAAAGCGUGGGGAGCAAACAGG